UAUGGAUGUUAAAUGAGGUAGAGAAGUUCCUGUCACAUCAGUGAGGCUUGUAGACGUUAAUGAAGUAGAAGAGUUCCUGUCACGUGCCUAGUUUCAAUUUCCACCUGAAAUAUGACACCAUUCAACAAUGUCAUUUUAGAGAAGAUUAAGUAUCCUGGUAUGUGACACAGUGAACUCGAUUUUUAAAUUAUGCACCUUGAAAUAAUGAAAACAAAAUAAAAUGGAAGCUCUAUUUGUCAGGAGCCUGCUAUCUGGCUUUGGAAAGUCCUUGAUAAUCGUUCUCAGCACAGAAGGAGACCAGCUCUUAAUAUCAACCUUGCCCUAUUGAGAAAGGAAUUUACCCUUAAGAGCUGUUGAAGAGAGCAAAGAUCAUCUUGUAGCCAUCAAGCAGAUCAUCCA